rnacentral:piRNA from 1 species
UACAACAGAAUUAUGUGAGGA